CACGUUUUACUGUGUGUUAGGCCGUCUGACGACUCUGUAUACACGUUUUACUGUGUAUCUGUGUAUCUGAUGACUCUGUAUACACGUUUUACUCUGUGUUAGGCUGUCUGAUGACUGUAUACAAAUUUCACAGUGUUGACAACUCUAAAGAUAUUCUACUGCAUGUCUGGUGACUAUGAUACACAUAGCUUUCUGUGUUUUCAAUGACUUGUUAUUCAAAUUUUUAAUAAUGUUGCCCUCAUAUGUUCUUCUACACAUUGAACAUGCAUAUUCUAUAUGGAAAUGCAUGUAGUGUAAUAACAAUACUCUGACAAAAACAAGGUAAACACUUCGGGAAGACAACACCAUGUUAUAUAUGGUGUAUUUUAUUACGAUGAUUUAAAUCAAAAUACUGUUACCACCUUAUAAUACUGCUAUAUAGUGCUCAUUUAACAGCGGUGGGCAAGGUGUUAAAAAGGCUGUUACCUGUCUUGAUUGUUUCCCAUAUUCAAGGACGACACAUCUUGAACAAUUUACACAAUGAAUGUUAGUGAGUGAGAGUGUUUAUUUGGAAGCUGACACGUUAAGACCAAUGGUAUAUUACUGUACCAAUUGUAUAGCCUGUUAUUGUUCAUCAAUGUCAUCCAAUUCUGCUUGUUUGUCAAAAUUUAGUGCUAAGCGACUGAUUACAUCACAAGUGUGAUCUUUUUAAUGAAUACAUCACAAGCGUGAUCGUUCUUAUGAAUACAUCACAAGCGUGAUCGUUCUAAUGAAUACAUCACAAGCGUGAUCGUUCUAAUGAAUACAUCACAAGCGUGAUCGUUCUAAUGAAUACAUCACAAGCGUGAUCGUUCUAAUGAAUACAUCACAAGCGUGAUCGUUCUAAUGAAUACAUCACAAGCGUGAUCGUUCUAAUGAAUACAUCACAAGCGUGAUCGUUCUAAUGAAUACAUCACAAGCGUGAUCUUUCUAAUGUAUACAUCACAAGUGUGAUCUUUCUAAUGAAUACAUCACAAGCGUGAUCUUUCCAAUGAAUCAUAUUAUGUAUGUUUGAAUAGAAAUGUAAAUGAAAAAUUCUCAAUGGUGCGUCAGAUUUUGAACAGACAUUUGAAGACUAAAUUACAGACGCACAAUUAAAUAAGACUGCUACCUGAUCAGACUAGGUCUAGAUGUGUUAGGAACUGGUUUAUUACCCGUGGUAGGUUUCCUCUCAUUGGUGUGUCUGUAACCCAUACUAUGGUGGGUUAUAACAUCAGUAGGGCGAUACUCAUUGUACACAUGUUGAGUUAUCUCCCUUUAUCUGUUAAUCAUCAGAUGUUAUUUAUAUCCCUGUUGUUUACAUUCGGACUAGUAUAAUGAGAAACCAACUCAAAACUUUAUAUCUGAAGUGACAUAUUGGUAAAAAUUUGAAAAUGAAGAAAACUGAAUUUUUCAUAAUAAAAAAAAAUCAGCUGAAUAUGUAGUACAAAUGGUUAAUUUGAUAAUUAAAAAAAAAAAAAAAAAAAAAAAAAUAAUGGGAACAAUUAUGAUUUUCAGAGAUUUAAGCUCAUCAGUUAAUUUAAAAAUCAGGCCUAAAAGUGAUUGCAAUGCUUGUAUUUUGUCUUUCAAUCAACUAUGUCAUCCAGUAGUUGAGGGAGAUACUGUAUUGAGGAUAUGUACCACAAAUAACUGACAGGCUUUGUAUUGUACACAAAAAUACCAGUACAAAAUGUAUUAUCCUUCAGGAAAUUACCGGUACAUUGUAUAAUACAACAGUCUGCUGUUGUCAACCUAUGGGCUCUCUUAAUUUGUUUGAAAGAGAAGAUAUUGAGCAAAAGUUUUUAAUAUCAUUCAAAUACAGGAGGAUUCUGCAUGUACUUUACAGAUAUUGUCAAAACAGUACAUAGUUCAAAAGGUAUGAAGUUCAUUGAUAGCACAUUCAAAAUAUCUAGAAAUGUCAGUUGUAACAUUUGACAGUCUACUACAAAAUUUUGUGACUCGGAAAUGCUCAAUAUUUCAGACGUCGUUUUGAAUAUUGACUUCUGAUUGAAAUGAUAGAAACUAUAAAGAUAGAAACUAUAAAGAUAGAAACUAUAAAGAAAAGUUAUGGACACUAUCUGUUGAGAAUUAUGUUCUUAAUCUAAGACAAAUGUUCACAACAGAGCUGUGCUUGAUAGUUUCGUAAUAUUUCCCAAACUAAAAACUCAUUAUUUAUUUUUGUUUACGUAAAUAUGUAAAAUGUGAGGGUUAUGAUUUUAUAUCAAAUAAUUCAGUAUGGAUAUCUGAAAACAUUUAUUCUGCCAUAUUGUAUAUAUGCUGUAUUAGCAAUUCGAAGUUGACCUUUGACACUUACUAUCUACUUUUAAUAUUUACACAUUGAACCUUGUGUGACCUUGACACUUAUAUUUCUGUCUGUUAGUGAGGUACACCUCGGGUGAAUCUCCUGUCAAUAGUGAGGUACACCUCGGGUGAAUCUCCUGUCAUUAGUGAGGUACACCUCGGGUGAAUCUCCUGUCGUUAGUGAGGUAAACCUCGGGUGAAUCUCCUGUCAUCAGUGAGGUAACCUUGGGUGAAUCUCCUGUCGUUAGUGAGGUACACCUCGGGUGAAUCUCCUGUCGUUAGUGAGGUAAACCUCGGGUGAAUCUCCUGUUGUAGUGAGGUACACCUCGGGUGAAUCUCCUGUCGUUAGUGAGGUACACUUCGGGUGAAUCUCCUGUCAAUAGUGAGGUAAACCUCAGGUGAAUCUCCUGUCAUUAGUGAGGUAAACCUCGGGUGAAUCUCCUGUCUGUUAGUGAGGUAAACCUCGGGUGAAUCUCCUGUCGUAAGUGAGGUACACCUCGGGUGAAUCUCCUGUCGUUAGUGAGGUACACCUCGGGUGAAUCUCCUGUCGUAGGAGAGGUACACCUCGGGUGAAUCUCCUGUCAAUAGUGAGGUACACCUCGGGUGAACCUCCUGCUGUUUAGUGAGGCCCAACUCGGGUGAAUCUCCUGUUGUUAGUGAGGUACACCUCGGGUGAAUCUCCUGUCGUUAGUGAGGUAAACCUCGGGUGAAUCUCCUGUUGUAGUGAGGUACACCUCUGGUGAAUCAUCUGUCAAUAGUGAGGUAAACCUCGGGUGAAUCUCCUGUCAAUAGUGAGGUAAACCUCGGGUGAAUCUCCUGUUGUAGUGAGGUACACCUCGGGUGAAUCUCCUGUCAAUAGUGAGGUAAACCUCGGGUGAAUCUCCUGUCAAUAGUGAGGUAAACCUCGGGUGAAUCUCCUGUCGUUAGUGAGGUAAACCUCGGGUGAAUCUCCUGUCAAUAGUGAGGUAAACCUCGGGUGAAUCUCCUGUCGUCAGUGAGGUAAACCUCGGGUGAAUCUCCUGUUGUUAGUGAGGUACACCUCAGGUGAAUCUCCUGUCGUUAGUGAGGUAAACCUCGGGUGAAUCUCCUGCUGUUAGUGAGGUAAACCUCGGGUGAAUCUCCUGUUGUAGUGAGGUACACCUCGGGUGAAUCUCCUGUCAAUAGUGAGGUAAACCUCGGGUGAAUCUCCUGCUGUUAGUGAGGUAAACCUCAGGUGAAUCUCCUGUUGUAGUGAGGUACACCUCGGGUGAAUCUCCUGUCGUUAGUGAGGUAAACCUCGGGUGACACCCAUGUAUAUUAUCCUUGGUCUACAUAUACAAUGAGGUCAUACAGUUCGCAUGCCUGCCUGCCAGUGUUUGAUCAUCCUCAAGCAUUUUCAGCAGUUUUCUAGUGAUAAGAAGUACAGUGUUGAUGUAUGACUGUUACCAUGGUUACUUGAGUUGCUGACAAAAUCCCUCCAGUGUCACAGAUGGAAUUUUGCUCAAGGUCAAGUUUUAAUAGAGGGAUUAUGUAGUGUUCUAUUUAUAGGUUAGUCAUGUUUAUUUUCUAAUGAUUUUGUUUCCGUUGAUACUGGAUGAAGGUCGUUGGAGGUAGUAACUUAUUUAUAACUGUGUGAGUGGAGAUUGUUAUGUCACCGUUACCGUUUGUAAUUAUGCAUAGUGUAAUUGUUGGACCAAAGACCAGUGUGGAAGUCUGUGAGGAUGGAAUGGGUACAUGAGUGUAUCAUUAAAAUGCAAAUAUAAACAUUUUCCUUUCUCUACUGUGA